rnacentral:lncRNA from 1 species
AAACAACGAAAAAAAAAAUCUAGAUCCGAAUUCCAGGAGGGUAAACUUUGCAGCCACGUCACACGUCAGCAAAUUUGCACAGAUAUUAUAUUGCCUCCCCCCUUUUUUAUUUUUUUCGGAGCCCAUUGUACUUAACUGAAUUUUAUAACGCUGAUCGAUAUCUUGGUAAAAUAUUCAUUUUUAAACUAGCGGGCAGUGAAAUCUUUGCUUUGUGUGCUAAAGUCAACAGUCUCACAGUUCGGGCUCCAAUAAAUGCGGCGAUGCUGCGGCUUGGAGCAGUCGGGGCGUCUCCCAAUGCAAGACUGUCCUCGCCCGGCCGUGGGCUGCGGAAGGCCCCACACCAGGAACCCAAUUGUCAAGAGCAGCAACCUAUUCACAGGUCCAAGAAUUGUGUCAGCAAUACACGGUUUCCAGUGAUUUUCAUAUUCAACCUUGGGCAAGAUGGGGUAUAUCGGGUGCAAGCACGAUGGAUGUAAAAUUCUGUAAAAGAAAGGAGAUAUGCUAAUGGCAGAAUUUUGAAGAAUGCCGGAGGUCAAGCUGUUAACAAGAAGUUGGUCCUAAAGUCAGAAUCUCCCCUAAACAAUCGGAAUGUUCAGUAUCUAUUUUGACACUGCCUGUUAUGCCCCAUGUAGGUUUUGGGAGCCAAGACACCAUGCUUAAUUCCAUUGUAAUAAGGUUUAUUUAGCCUGAACGGUUUUAUGAGGUGAAAAGGCAGAAAGUUUAACACAGAAGAAAAUUAAUGGUUUACUAAGAUUACAUUAAACAUUCACAGACAGGAAGCACACCUGCGGUAAAUACAAAGUUUAAACACUCCUUUGCUCUCUGACAAAAAUCUCAGCAACUUUAGUAUGUUUUUCCUACUGGGUGGUCAGAAGGAAAAGCUCCAAAGCAAAAGGACUCCUAUUGUGUCUAUGCUGCCUUAAGAACUGACCUCACAUGUCUCUAUAGAAGACAAACACCUGUUUAUCUCUGGUGAGCUCCUGCGUGUGUCUACACCAAUGCACAUGCUCUCAACACUGCCCCACAGUCUUCUAUCACUACAUAGAGAAGAUGGCUUUUGGAACCAGAAAAAAAAAUGUUUCCCCUCUCCCAAAAUGCACUCCUUUUUUUUUUCAAAGCAAUAAAUAUUUUUCUUUAUUUUUUAUUUCCGCCCA